AGAAAGUUAGUCUAACCAAGACAGUUGAUUUCGGCUCAACAAAUUACAGCUAACACCCUGUAACUUUCUU
rnacentral:tRNA from 1 species